UGAGGAAUAUUGCACAAUGGGGGAAACCCUGAUGCAGCAACGCCGCGUGGAGGAAGAAGGCCUUCGGGUCGUAAACUCCUUUUCUGGGGGACGAGAGAGGACGGUACCCCAGGAAUAAGUCACGGCUAACUACGUGCCAGCAGCCGCGGUAAUACGUAGGUGGCGAGCGUUAUCCGGAAUUACUGGGCGUAAAGCGCAAGCAGGCGGCGAUUUAAGUUUGACGUGAAAUCUCCUGGCUUAACCGGGAGGGGACGUUGAAAACUGGAUUGCUUGAGGCGGUGAGAGGGGUGUGGAAUUCCCGGUGUAGUGGUGGAAUGCGUAGAUAUCGGGAGGAACACCAGAGGCGAAAGCGACACCCUGGCACUUGCCUGACGCUGAGAUGCGAAAGCGUGGGGAGCAAACG
rnacentral:rRNA from 1 species